CCUACGGGCGGCAGCAGUGAGGAAUAUUGGUCAAUGGACGAGAGUCUGAACCAGCCAAGUAGCGUGAAGGAUGACUGCCCUAUGGGUUGUAAACUUCUUUUAUAUGGGAAUAAAAUGUUCCCCGUGUGGGAUUUUGUAUGUACCAUAUGAAUAAGGGUCGGCUAACUCCGUGCCAGCAGCCGCGGUAAUACGGAGGAUCCGAGCGUUAUCCGGAUUUAUUGGGUUUAAAGGGAGCGUAGGUGGAUUGUUAAGUCAGUUGUGAAAGUUUGCGGCUCAACCGUAAAAUUGCAGUUGAAACUGGCAGUCUUGAGUACAGUAGAGGUGGGCGGAAUUCGUGGUGUAGCGGUGAAAUGCUUAGAUAUCACGAAGAACUCCGAUUGCGAAGGCAGUUCACUGGACUGCAACUGACACUGAGGCUCGAAAGUGUGGGUAUCAAACAGGAUUAGAUACCCUGGUAGUC
rnacentral:rRNA from 1 species